rnacentral:rRNA from 1 species
AUUGAACGCUGGCGGCAGGCCUAACACAUGCAAGUCGAGCGGAUGAAGGGAGCUUGCUCCUGGAUCCAGCGGCGGACGGGUGAGUAAUGCCUAUGAAUCUGCUUGGUAGUGGGGGAUAACGUCCGGAAACGGGCGCUAAUACCGCAUACGUGCUGAGGGAGCAAGUGGGUGAUCUUCGGACCGUACGCUAUCAGAUGAGCCUAGGUCGGACUAGAUAGUUGGUGGGGUAAAGGCCUACCAAGGCGACGAUCCGUAACUGGUCUGAGAGGAUGAUCAGUCGCACGGGAGCUGAGACACGGUCAAGACUCCUACGAGAGGCAGCAGUGGGGAAUAUUGGACAGUGGUCGAAAGCCUGAUCCAGCCAGGCCGCGUGUGUGAAGAAGGUCUUGGGAUUGUAAAGCACUCUAAGUUGGGAGAAAGGGCAGUAAGUUAAUACCAUGCUGUUGUGACGUUACCAACAGAAUAAGCACCGGCUAACUUCGUG